GACGAACGCUGGCGGCGUGCCUAAUACAUGCAAGAUGAGCGCUGAAGGUUGGUACUUGUACCAACUGGAUGAGCAGCGAACGGGUGAGUAACGCGUGGGGAAUCUGCCUUUGAGCGGGGGUCAACAUUUGGAAACGAAUGCUAAUACCGCAUAAAAACUUUAAACACAAGUUUUAAGUUUGAAAGAUGCAAUUGCAUCACUCAAAGAUGAUCCCGCGUUGUAUUAGCUAGUUGGUGAGGUAAAGGCUCACCAAGGCGAUGAUACAUAGCCGACCUGAGAGGGUGAUCGGCCACAUUGGGACUGAGACACGGCCCAAACUCCUACGGGAGGCAGCAGUAGGGAGUCUUCGGCAAUGGACGAAAGUCUGACCGAGCAACGCCGCGUGAGUGAAGAAGGUUUUCGGAUCGUAAAACUCUGUUGGUAGAGAAGAACGUUGGUGAGAGUGGAAAGCUCAUCAAGUGACGGUAACUACCCAGAAAGGGACGGCUAACUACGUG
rnacentral:rRNA from 1 species